rnacentral:rRNA from 1 species
GGUUAAGCGACUAAGCGUACACGGUGGAUGCCCUGGCAGUCAGAGGCGAUGAAGGACGUGCUAAUCUGCGAUAAGCGUCGGUAAGGUGAUAUGAACCGUUAUAACCGGCGAUUUCCGAAUGGGGAAACCCAGUGUGUUUCGACACACUAUCAUUAACUGAAUCCAUAGGUUAAUGAGGCGAACCGGGGGAACUGAAACAUCUAAGUACCCCGAGGAAAAGAAAUCAACCGAGAUUCCCCCAGUAGCGGCGAGCGAACGGGGAGCAGCCCAGAGCCUGAAUCAGUGUGUGUGUUAGUGGAAGCGUCUGGAAAGGCGCGCGAUACAGGGUGACAGCCCCGUACACAAAAAUGCACAUACUGUGAGCUCGAUGAGUAGGGCGGGACACGUGGUAUCCUGUCUGAAUAUGGGGGGACCAUCCUCCAAGGCUAAAUACUCCUGACUGACCGAUAGUGAACCAGUACCGUGAGGGAAAGGCGAAAAGAACCCCGGCGAGGGGAGUGAAAAAGAACCUGAAACCGUGUACGUACAAGCAGUGGGAGCACGCUUCGGCGUGUGACUGCGUACCUUUUGUAUAAUGGGUCAGCGACUUAUAUUCUGUAGCAAGGUUAACCGAAUAGGGGAGCCGAAGGGAAACCGAGUCUUAACUGGGCGUUAAGUUGCAGGGUAUAGACCCGAAACCCGGUGAUCUAGCCAUGGGCAGGUUGAAGGUUGGGUAACACUAACUGGAGGACCGAACCGACUAAUGUUGAAAAAUUAGCGGAUGACUUGUGGCUGGGGGUGAAAGGCCAAUCAAACCGGGAGAUAGCUGGUUCUCCCCGAAAGCUAUUUAGGUAGCGCCUCGU